rnacentral:rRNA from 1 species
UACGGAAGGCAGCAGUGGGGAAUAUUGCACAAUGGGCGCAAGCCUGAUGCAGCCAUGCCGCGUGUAUGAAGAAGGCCUUCGGGUUGUAAAGUACUUUCAGUCGUGAGGAAGGUGUUAAGGUUAAUAACCUUAGCAAUUGACGUUAGCGACAGAAGAAGCACCGGCUAACUCCGUGCCAGCAGCCGCGGUAAUACGGAGGGUGCGAGCGUUAAUCGGAAUUACUGGGCGUAAAGGGCACGCAGGCGGUUAAUUAAGUUGGAUGUGAAAUCCCCGGGCUUAACCUGGGAAUGGCAUUCAAGACUGGUUAGCUAGAGUCUUGUAGAGGGGGUUAGAAUUCCAUGUGUAGCGGUGAAAUGCGUAGAGAUGUGGAGGAAUACCGGUGGCGAAGGCGGCCCCUGGGACAAAGACUGACGCUCAUGUGCGAAAGCGUGGGGA